UUAAGCGACCAAGCGUACACGGUGGAUGCCCUGGCAGUCAGAGGCGAUGAAGGACGUGCUAAUCUGCGAAAAGCGCCGGUAAGGUGAUAUGAACCGUUAUAACCGGCGAUGUCCGAAUGGGGAAACCCAGUGUGACUCGUCACACUAUCAUUAACUGAAUCCAUAGGUUAAUGAGGCGAACCGGGGGAACUGAAACAUCUAAGUACCCCGAGGAAAAGAAAUCAACCGAGAUUCCCCAGUAGCGGCGAGCGAACGGGGAGGAGCCCAGAGCCUGAAUCAGCAUGUGUGUUAGUGGAAGCGUCUGGAAAGGCGCGCGAUACAGGGUGAGAGCCCCGUACACAAAAGCGCACGUGCUGUGAGCUCGAUGAGUAGGGCGGGACACGUGGUAUCCUGUCUGAAUAUGGGGGGACCAUCCUCCAAGGCUAAAUACUCCUGACUGACCGAUAGUGAACCAGUACCGUGAGGGAAAGGCGAAAAGAACCCCGGCGAGGGGAGUGAAACAGAACCUGAAACCGUGUACGUACAAGCAGUGGGAGCCCCACCACUAAGCCAGUGGUGAACUCCACAUACGCAUCCUUUGCUGAGGAUACGGUUAACGGAGCGAAAGCGACGUUUAACCGCAAAAGAAGCAGAGGGGGCUUAGUGGUGGGGUGACUGCGUACCUUUUGUAUAAUGGGUCAGCGACUUAUAUUCUGUAGCAAGGUUAACCGCAUAGGGGAGCCGGAGGGAAACCGAGUCUUAAUUGGGCGUUAAGUUGCAGGGUAUAGACCCGAAACCCGGUGAUCUAGCCAUGGGCAGGUUGAAGGUUGGGUAACACUAACUGGAGGACCGAACCGACUAAUGUUGAAAAAUUAGCGGAUGACCUGUGGCUGGGGUGAAAGGCCAAUCAAACCGGGAGAUAGCUGGUUCUCCCCGAAAGCUAUUUAGGUAGCGCCUCGUGAAUUCAUCUCCGGGGGUAGAGCACUGUUUCGGCCAGGGGGCCAUCCCGGCUUACCAAUCCGAUGCAAACUGCGAAUACCGGAGAAUGUUAUCACGGGAGACACACGGCGGGUGCUAACGUCCGUCGUGAAGAGGGAAACAACCCAGACCGCCAGCUAAGGUCCCAAAGUCAUGGUUAAGUGGGAAACGAUGUGGGAAGGCCCAGACAGCCAGGAUGUUGGCUUAGAAGCAGCCAUCAUUUAAAGAAAGCGUAAUAGCUCACUGGUCGAGUCGGCCUGCGCGGAAGAUGUAACGGGGCUAAACCAUGCACCGAAGCUGCGGCAGCGACACUGAUGUGUUGUUGGGUAGGGGAGCGUUCUGUAAGCCGUUGAAGGUGGCCUGUGAGGGUUGCUGGAGGUAUCAGAAGUGCGAAUGCUGACAUAAGUAACGAUAAAGCGGGUGAAAAGCCCGCUCGCCGGAAGACCAAGGGUUCCUGUCCAACGUUAAUCGGGGCAGGGUGAGUCGACCCCUAAGGCGAGGCCGAAAGGCGUAGUCGAUGGGAAACGGGUUAAUAUUCCCGUACUUGGUGUUACUGCGAAGGGGGGACGGAGAAGGCUAUGUUGGCCGGGCGACGGUUGUCCCGGUUUAAGCGUGUAGGUGUGUGUUCCAGGUAAAUCCGGUUCACUUUAACACUGAGGCGUGACGACGAGGCACUACGGUGCUGAAGCAACAAAUGCCCUGCUUCCAGGAAAAGCCUCUAAGCCUCAGGUAACAUCAAAUCGUACCCCAAACCGACACAGGUGGUCAGGUAGAGAAUACCAAGGCGCUUGAGAGAACUCGGGUGAAGGAACUAGGCAAAAUGGUGCCGUAACUUCGGGAGAAGGCACGCUGACACGUAGGUGAAGUGGUUUACCCAUGGAGCUGAAGUCAGUCGAAGAUACCAGCUGGCUGCAACUGUUUAUUAAAAACACAGCACUGUGCAAACACGAAAGUGGACGUAUACGGUGUGACGCCUGCCCGGUGCCGGAAGGUUAAUUGAUGGGGUCAGCGCAAGCGAAGCUCCUGAUCGAAGCCCCGGUAAACGGCGGCCGUAACUAUAACGGUCCUAAGGUAGCGAAAUUCCUUGUCGGGUAAGUUCCGACCUGCACGAAUGGCGUAAUGAUGGCCAGGCUGUCUCCACCCGGGACUCAGUGAAAUUGAACUCGCUGUGAAGAUGCAGUGUACCCGCGGCAAGACGGAAAGACCCGUGAACCUUUACUAUAGCUUGACACUGAACACUGGUCCUUGAUGUGCAGGAUAGGUGGGAGGCUUUGAAGUGUGGACGCCAGUCUGCAUGGAGCCGACCUUGAAAUACCACCCUUUAAUGGCUGGUGUUCUAACGUGGGCCCGUGAACCGGGUUGCGGACAGUGUCUGGUGGGUAGUUUGACUGGGGCGGUCUCCUCCUAAAGAGUAACGGAGGAGCACGAAGGUUGGCUAAUCCUGGUCGGACAUCAGGAGGUUAGUGCAAUGGCAUAAGCCAGCUUGACUGCGAGCGUGACGGCGCGAGCAGGUGCGAAAGCAGGUCAUAGUGAUCCGGUGGUUCUGAAUGGAAGGGCCAUCGCUCAACGGAUAAAAGGUACUCCGGGGAUAACAGGCUGAUACCGCCCAAGAGUUCAUAUCGACGGCGGUGUUUGGCACCUCGAUGUCGGCUCAUCACAUCCUGGGGCUGAAGUAGGUCCCAAGGGUAUGGCUGUUCGCCAUUUAAAGUGGUACGCGAGCUGGGUUUAGAACGUCGUGAGACAGUUCGGUCCCUAUCUGCCGUGGGCGCUGGAAGAUUGAGGGGGGCUGCUCCUAGUACGAGAGGACCGGAGUGGACGCAUCACUGGUGUUCGGGUUGUCAUGCCAAUGGCACUGCCCGGUAGCUACAUGCGGAAGAGAUAAGUGCUGAAAGCAUCUAAGCACGAAACUUGCCCCGAGAUGAAUCUUCCCUGAGCCUUUAAGGCUCCUGAAGGAACGUUGAAGACGACGACGUUGAUAGGCCGGGUGUGUAAGCGCAGCGAUGCGUUGAGCUAACCGGUACUAAUGAACCGUGAGGCUUAACCUU
rnacentral:rRNA from 1 species